UACAGAGGUCUCAAGCGUUGUUCGGAUUCAUUGGGCGUAAAGGGUGUGUAGGUGGCGCGCUAAGUCGGGUGUGAAAUCUCUGGGCUUAACCCAGAAAGGUCAACCGAUACUGCGGGGCUAGAGUGCAGAAGGGGCAACUGGAAUUCUCGGUGUAGCGGUGAAAUGCGUAGAUAUCGAGAGGAACACCUGCGGCGAAGGCGGGUUGCUGGGCUGACACUGACGCUGAAGCGCGAAAGCUAGGGGAGCGAACGGG
rnacentral:rRNA from 1 species